AAACAUCUAUCCUGGUUCAGUUUUCUUCCUGGAUCCCCUCUAAAUGGGCUUGCUUAAACAUACUGAUGUGAUAAACAAACUUAGAGAUAAAUUAGCAGCAUGGUUAUCUUAGCCAUUGCUGUCAGUUACCUUCAGACAAGU
rnacentral:snoRNA from 1 species